rnacentral:rRNA from 1 species
GACGAACGCUGGCGGCGUGCCUAACACAUGCAAGUUGAGCGACGAACCAGGGCUUGCCCUGGGGCAAAGCAGCGAACGGGUGAGUAACACGUGGGUAACCUACCCCGAUAACCGGGACAACCCGAGGAAACUCGGGCUAAUACCGGAUGUGCUCACUGGACUUCGGUUCAGGGCGUAAAGGAAGCUUCGGCCUCCGUAUCGGGAGCGGCCCGCGGCCCAUUAGUUUGUUGGUGAGGUAACGGCUCACCAAGACCGCGAUGGGUAGCUGGUCUGAGAGGACGAUCAGCCACACUGGGACUGAGACACGGCCCAGACUCCUACGGGAGGCAGCAGUGGGGAAUCUUGCGCAAUGGGCGAAAGCGUGACGCAGCAACGCCGCGUGGGGGAAGAAGGCCUUCGGGUUGUAAACCCCUUUCAGGAGGGACGAAGGUUCGGCGGUGAAUAGCCGUCCGGACUGACGGUACCUCCACAAGAAGCCCCGGCUAACUACGUG